AGAGUUUGAUCAUGGCUCAGGACGAACGCUGGCGGCGUGCUUAACACAUGCAAGUCGAACGAUGAACCACUUCGGUGGGGAUUAGUGGCGAACGGGUGAGUAACACGUGGGCAAUCUGCCCUUCACUCUGGGACAAGCCCUGGAAACGGGGUCUAAUACCGGAUACCACUCGCGCAGGCAUCUGUGCGGGUUGAAAGCUCCGGCGGUGAAGGAUGAGCCCGCGGCCUAUCAGCUUGUUGGUGAGGUAACGGCUCACCAAGGCGACGACGGGUAGCCGGCCUGAGAGGGCGACCGGCCACACUGGGACUGAGACACGGCCCAGACUCCUACGGGAGGCAGCAGUGGGGAAUAUUGCACAAUGGGCGAAAGCCUGAUGCAGCGACGCCGCGUGAGGGAUGACGGCCUUCGGGUUGUAAACCUCUUUCAGCAGGGAAGAAGCGAAAGUGACGGUACCUGCAGAAGAAGCGCCGGCCAACUACGUGCCAGCAGCCGCGGUAAGACGUAGGGCGCAAGCGUUGUCCGGAUUUAUUGGGCGUAAAGAGCUCGUAGGCGGUUUGUCGCGUCUGUCAUGAAAGCCCCACGGCUUAACCGUGGGUCUGCGGUGGAUACGGGCAGACUAGAGGCAGGUAGGGAGAAUGGAAUUCCCGGGUGUAGCGGUGAAAUGCGCAGAUAUCGGGAGGAACACCGGUGGCGAAGGCGGUUCUCUGGGCCUGUACUGACGCUGAGGAGCGAAAGCGUGGGGAGCGAACAGGAUUAGAUACCCUGGUAGUCCACGCCGUAAACGUUGGGCGCUAGGUGUG
rnacentral:rRNA from 1 species